GCUUGCCAGGAAGGAUGGGUGGCUUGUGGGAAGCAUCACAACAGUGUCUGAUGCAUGGAGGAAAAGCUUGGGGAGUGAUGAAAACGCACACGAAGGGUUUGAGAGCUGCGACGCCGAGGGCAGUGGAAAAAUCAGAGCUGAUCCCAUUAGUUCCUGUGACUGCUCUUUUCAGGAAAGCCGAGCUUUUGGCAAAGGAGAUAAGUAAAUUCCCAUAUUCCCUCCCAAUCCCACCCUGAUUUAAGUUAAUUUGGGGGGGUACCCAGCAUCAUUAACUGCACUUUUUACUUUUUAUUCCAGAUGUGAAGAAGAGAACUGUUAUCCUCAACAUUUCAAGCUGUAACUUAAACCACUGAACACGCUGCUGUACAACGAUGUCCUGUGUGUUACUGCAGACAUAAAGAGCAGCUUCCUUGGGUUAUAGAAGCAGUGACUUUUUCAGCGUGAUUUUUUGCCAUAAAGGGCAAUCUGGUGACUCCAAGAAACUCAGCAGCAGUUCGAGCUCUUGCUUCUUUGCAGGAUAAGGAGUUUUAAUGAGCUCUCAGUGGCCUAAUCCUGUUAACACCCUCUCAAUUUCACUGUGCUUCUGGCUAUCAGGAAGGUUUAUGUCAGCUCCCCAUAGCCAGAACAGCCAGCUCACAGUACAGCCCUUCCUCCUCAACUGGGAAGACCUGCAGCAGGGACCAGACUGGCUUUCCCAAAACCAUCCUUCACCUGUGUACUUGGCUGCUCUUGAAGUUGCCCAGCAGGUUUGGGUAUAGCCACGGAUCAGGUGAACCAUGGAUGUGCCUGUUGAGCUGUGCCCACACUUCCAGACACCCUUCCAGGAAGGAACACAUGUAUGUCCCACUGAUACAGGCAGAACAGCAUCUACAGCUGUGCAGAGCAGGUGCAACAGCAUCUUUGAUCCAGGCAAGCAGAGAUAUACAAAGUGGCCAAGGAUGUUAAUUCUCCCAUGAAUCACUGCCUUUCUUUGCAUCUUUAUCACAUUCCUGGACUCAAGCCAUGUUCCUGCAGCUUCUUCAC
rnacentral:lncRNA from 14 species